rnacentral:rRNA from 1 species
CGCUAAACUUCGGCAUCCAUACCAUGCCAUUCCUACCGAGAGUGAUGGCACUCACUCUCCAAUGUCAACUAGGUGAAUAACGCGUGAAUAACCUGGCUUUGAGAAUGGGAUAACUGUCCCAGAGGAUACCUAAUACCCUAUAUUGUCUUUUGUCACUAAGGCAAAACGCGAAAUCCACGCUGUCAAAAGCUUCGAGCACACACCAGGGGUUCGCGUCCUAUCAAGUAUUUGGCGGGCUAAUGGCCUAACGAGCCCAUGCACUGGUACCUGGCCUUAGAGGCAGAUCAUCCACAGUGUGACUGAAACACGGCCCGCACCCCUACCGGGGGCAUCACUGCGGAAUCUUGCGCUAUGGUCGCAAGCCUGACCCCCCAAUGCCGCGUGAUGGAAGAAGCCCUUCUGGGUGUAAACCUCUGUCAAAUGGUAAGAUGAGACUAUUGGCUAAUACCUCCUACCUCUUGACUGUACCAUCAGAGAAAGGGACGGCUAACUACCUGCCACCUGCCACAGUAAU